GCUAUUUUAGUUUUAUAUUUAAAAUGUGUGAUUUGUAAUCAUGAGAACUUGGUGGCU
rnacentral:tRNA from 1 species